rnacentral:rRNA from 1 species
GUAGGGAAUAUUGCGCAAUGGACGAAAGUCUGACGCAGCGACGCCGCGUGAGUGAUGAAGGCCUUAGGGUCGUAAAGCUCUGUUGAAUGGGAAGAAAAAAAUGACGGUACCAUUCGAGGAAGGACCGGCUAACUUCGUGCCAGCAGCCGCGGUAAUACGAGGGGUCCUAGCGUUGUUCGGAAUCAUUGGGCGUAAAGGGUGUGUAGGUGGCCAUGUAAGUCAGGUGUGAAAGCCCCGGGCUCAACCCGGGAAGUGCACUUGAUACUGCGUGGCUUGAGUACCGAAGAGGGUAGUGGAAUUCCAGGUGUAGUGGUGAAAUACGUAGAUAUCUGGAGGAACACCGGUGGCGAAGGCGGCGCUCUGGGCUGUAACUGACGCUGAGGAGCGAAAGUGUGGGUAGCAAACAGGAUUAGAUACCCGUGUAGUCC